rnacentral:lncRNA from 10 species
CCUAGUUUCCCAGUGCUGGAAUAUAGAAAAUGGAUGGACAAGUAAAUCCCACUCAGCACCCAUAGUCCCGCUGGACCUACCAUGAAAGACUUCUGAAUCCAGGAAGAGAAACUGACUGGGCAACAUGUUAUUCAGAAACAGGACCUUGCCCUGUCACUCAGGAUGGAGUUCAGUGGUCCUAUCAUGGCUCAUUAUAGCCUCAAACUCCCAGGCUCAAGCAAUCCUACCAUGUCAGCCUUCCCAGUAGCUGGAACUACAGGAAGUGCGCUCACAAUGACUCAAGCUGCCACAUACUGUUGAUUGUGAAAUGCCAGUUGAAGCAUAUGUCCUGCAAGCUUAGGGGUGCUACAAGUUGACCACUGCAGCAGUAAAGAUGACUCUGAAGAACGGCGUGGGAUGGUUCCUUUCAAAUGCACUUGAGCAGCGGUCUCCAACCACAGGGCCACAGAGCUGGAGGUGAGCAGCAGGCGAGU